rnacentral:lncRNA from 1 species
GGAUUUUUUGCCAUUCCUACAGUGGAUUGAUUUCCAAGGGAUGGAGAAAAGGCUGCUUAGAUUGCAGAAAAAUUGGGACGAAUUUUGCCAAGGUUUGAUUAAUGAGCAUCGAAACAGCAAUAAUUCUUCCUCACAAGAACAAGGACGGUCUAAGACAUUCAUCGAUAAAAUGCUAUAUUUACAAGAAUCUGAACCUGAGAGCUAUUCCGAUGAAAUCAUCAAAGGCUUUAUGCUGGUAUGCUAUCUUAAUUAGCAGACUAUUUAAAUCAGCAUUCCUCUGAUUAAGCAGUGGUUUAUACAAGGAUUAAACAAAAGAACAGAACUUUUUAUUUUUCUUUCUUUCUCUCCUUAUUUUUUUUUUUUUUUUUUUUUUUUUUUUUUUUUANNNNNNNNNNNNNNCACUGACAAUGGAGUGGGCAAUGUCGCUUCUUCUUAACCAUCCUGAGGCGUUAAAGAAGGCUAGAGCUGAGUUAGACAAAAUUAUUGGUCAAGACCGAUUGGUAGACGAGUCCGAUUAUUCCAAGUUACCAUACCUCCAAAGCAUAAUAAAUGAGACACUACGACUAUAUCCAGUAGCACCUCUUCUGCUACCCCAUGAAUCGUCCAAUGACUGCCUCGUUGGAGGCUACUAUGUACCGCGAGGCACAAUGUUGCUGGCCAAUGCUUGGGCUAUUCAUAGGGAUCCAACGGUGUGGAAUGACCCAACAAAAUUUAGGCCUGAGAGAUUUGAAGGUUUAGAUAAAGAUGCACAUAAAUAUAAAUUUAUUCCAUUUGGGCUGGGAAGAAGGGUUUGUCCUGGAAUCCCUCUUGCAAAUAGAGUAAUGGGCUUAGCAUUGGCCGCAUUAAUUCAAUGCUUUGAGUGGGAAAGACCAAGUGAAGAGCAAAUAGAUAUGUCUGAAGGAGAAGGACUUUCUAUGCCUAAAUCACAACCUUUGAAGGCCAUGUGCAGAGCACGUGAGUCCACGAUUAAUAUACUCCGUGACCUAUAAUUACUGUUUGAUUGCAAUUGCUGUAGUAUAAUCGUUGUUGUCCAAAUUAGUUGUCUUAUAGUUUGUUUUCCCCUUUUGUUAGGUUGUUCGUGUGAGGAUUUGGAAUAAAAUCAUAAUAUAGUGUUUAAAAAAUUGAAAUAAUUGUGGUCCAUAUUUAAUUCUUCAAAGCUAUUAUUUUUGCUGUGAUCUUUUGGAGAAGUGAUGUGCUGAUGCUGCUGGGCCAAUAAUUCUGUAGCCGGCCAAGUCUGUCCUUAUUUGUUGUGGUAGCAUCUAUCUAUAUAUGUAAUGACUAAUACGUUGGUGCAUUCCAUGUCACAUUUCUAAAUUUUUUUAUGCAUUAUUUGUCUGAAUAUACUGCCUCAAAACUUUUUUACUGAAUGAAUUAUCAAGGGAAAGAUGAGUUUUGUAAGUUCCAAUUACACAGUUUUAGUUUAGAACCUCUCAGUUUUCUGUGUUUUAAUAUUUUUAUUGAAAGUGUGUCCGAGAUUAAUUAAGAUCUCUAAUUGUCAGAAUUUUGAUUUUAAUUGUAAGAUCACAUGAUUAAAACAUCUAUGUAUUCGAUUAUUUGAGAUUAGGAUACAUUGUAUUUUAUAGCCAAUCUUUCUGAAAUUUUAUUUUGAUGAAACAGGUGGUUAGCUUGUUACUUUCUUUGAUUUUUUUUUUAUUUAUUUCAAUUUUCUUUUCAUGCGAUUUAUCAUAUAAUAGAGGAGGUAUCUACAUAUUAUAAAAAAUAUUAUUCCUUCUUUAUAUUAGAGUCAGCAUCAUUUGAGGCAAGCAGUUUUGUUUUUUGGCAUGUUAGUAAUUUUACAUUUAUCAUGUUUAUCUCUAUUAAGGAUUCAUUUUUUUGCUAUACAUUAUAUUUUAUAAAUGCAAAUCUCCUUAUAAACCUUAUCAAUCUUAGUUAAAGUUUAAAGAGAAAAAGAGAUUAAGGAAAGAUAACCGAAGGUUAGGUCACUUGUUGAACUUAAUCCAGACAAUUUAAUGUUAAUAAUAUAUAUAUUUUUUAUAAUUAUAUAUGGUACACUAAGCCCACUUCAGUCCUUCACAAUAAAUAUGGAAACCCAUUUUAUUCAUUUACUGUGCACAAGCACAUGCUUACAUGCAUACAAGUGCGUGCGUUUGCUAAAUUCAAGUCAAAAUUUGUGCGCCUCCCCAAAAUUGAAGUUACACUCACACCUCACGCUUGUCAAAAGCAACUCAGACAGGAAGACUGAUCUACAGUUACUUAGCUUUGUUAUAAAAACAAAACUUCUGCUCUCGUUCUGCUUCACAGAAUCAUAAAACAGAUAUCAGAAUGAAUGAGAUAUGGUUUUAUUUCCUUUCUACCUUUUCCUUAAUCUUUCUUCUUUCCAAGCUCUUUUCACUCAAACAAACACAGCACAAAAAAAUCCCUCCAAGGCCACCUGCAAUUCCCAUAAUUGGCCAUCUUCAUCUCAUGAAAGAACCUCUCCACAGAACGUUACAGAACAUAACAGAUCAGUAUGGUCCAAUCGUAUCCCUCUCAUUUGGUUCCCGUAAUAUUGUCGUUGUAUCAUCCCCAAAUUUACUUGAAGACUGCUUCCAUAAAAACGACCUUCUGUUUGCCAAUAGGCCUCACCUUUCCGCUUUCAAAUAUCUAGGGUGUGAUUACACCACUCUAGGUACUUCCCCUUAUGGCGACCACUGGCGAAACCUCCGUCGUAUUGCUUCGGUUCAAAUUUUCUCAACAAAUAGGCUUAACAAUUUCGACAGCAUUAGACAGGAUGAAGUUAGAAUCUUGCUUAAAAGCUUAUUUGCAAAUUCGCAAACAGGUUUCACGAAGGUAGAGAUGAAAUCGAGGUUAUCGGGCCUGUCUUUUAAUAUUAUAUCGAGGAUGAUAUCUGGGGAGAGAUACUUUGGAACAGAGGUGGAAAAUUUGGAGGUGGCUAAACGCUUUGGCGAUAUUUUGAAGCAGACUGCUGAAGUGAGUGGAGGUGGAGCAAGUGCAACAUUAAAUCUAGGGGAUUUUUUGCCAUUCCUACGGUGGGUUGAUUUCCGAAGGAUAGAGAAAAGGCUGCUCAGAUUGCAGAAAAAUUUGGAUGAAUUUUGCCAAAGUUUGAUUGAUGAGCAUCGAAAGAAUAAUAAUUCUUCCUCACAAGAACAAGGACGGCCUAAGACAAUGAUCGGUAAAAUGCUAUCUUUACAAGAAUCUGAACCUGAGAGCUAUUCCGAUGAAAUCAUCAAAGGCUUUAUACUGGUAUGCCAUCUUAAUUAGCUGACAAGUUAAAUUAACAAUCCUCUGAUUAAGCAGUGAUUUAUACUCAGAUUAAACAAAAGAACAAAACACUAUUGAUAUCAAAAGAACAAAACACUCUGAUUACCAUGUCAAAAUUUCAUGUAGGUUAUGCUACUUGGGGGAACUGGAUCAGCAGUAGCAGUGGAGUGGGCAAUGUCGCUUCUUCUUAACCAUCCUGAGGUUUUAAAGAAGGCCAGAGCUGAGUUAGACAAAAUUAUUGGUCAAGAAAGAUUGGUAGGGGAAGACGAUUUUCCCAAGUUGCCAUACCUGCAGAGCAUAAUAAACGAGACACAACGACUGUACCCAGUAGCACCACUUGUGACGCCACAUGAAUCGUCCGAUGACUGCUUCAUCGGAGGAUACUAUGUACCGCGAGGCACAAUGUUGCUGGUAAAUGCUUG